GAAACAUUUUUCUUUAUAUAAUUAUUAACAGUGAUUAUGUUAAGAUAAAAGAGUGCCAAAGUUAUAUACAAUCUAUUAGUAUAAUUAUUAUAUACUUAUAUCUAGGUUUAGGAAUAUUUAUUAAAUUAUUUAUAUUAUCAAGUAAAUAUCUUGGGUGAAAAUCCUCUCAACAGUCAUUAAUCAACAUGUAAGGGAAAGUAAAUCCAUUUUAUUUGUAAUCAUUUAAGGGGAAAUAACCUCAUUUCUUUUGAUCAUGUAAGGGGAAGUAAUUUAGUUUUGUUGUGGUUCUCUGUAAUAACAGUACUACAGUACUAUUGUACAAGGUAUUACAAAUAAAUUUCAUAAGAUAUUAGGAAAAGUGAAUUUAUUAUUGGUACCCCAAAUUACCUUACAAUGCAGAAGUAUUAUCAUUUUCAACAGUAUUAGUGGAUCUAUUAUGCUUCAUUAUGCUACAUGCAAAGUUUUAAAAUGUUUAGUAACGUGAGGAUGGGUCCAGAUCAUUUACACAUUUAGGAAAAACGAUUUGGAAAAUAACUUAUACGGCACCAAUUUUUACAGCAGAAACUGUACCAAAAUUUGUUAAUCAGUAUUAUUGAGAUUUUAAAUAUGCUUGAAUUUUUAUAGUACUUAAUAUAUGAAAAGCCAAACACAUUUUAAAAAAUUGGUCAUCAUAAUAAAUGUUUGUGUUUGUAAUUCAUAUUAAGCCCCAAAAAAUUACUCAUACUUUCAAUUAAAUAAGGAAAUUUUCAAUCUAUGCAUGUUGAGAAUAAUUUUGUUGUACAUUUUUUUUUAUUCUGACAUUUUUGUAAUUUUCCAAAUUUUGACCAGCAUUAGUGGUGCUGCUCUGUGAUUUCAGUAGAACACUACAAGAGUACUAUCAUAUUUGAUCUAGUCAUUUUUUUUGCAUUUCAGUAUAUUUAUAUAGAUAGACCUAUACAAUUUAUGUCUAGCCAGAUUUGUAUUUCAGUGGGGUUUUGUUGUUGUUGGUAGUACUGAUAUUUUGUAUUAAAUAUACAUCAAUUGUAUGUAGUAGCUGGCCACUUUUGAAAAUAAAAACAUUUAAUUGUUGUUACCUAAAACAAAUUAUACUAUUGAAAUUGUCACCAAGGAUAUACAAAAAUGUGUCAAAGACAUAUAUUUUGCAUACACAAACAUAUAAAAUAGUGCAUUUUAAAAAAUAGUAAGUUCUUUUUAAGAUUGUUCUGAAAUCUGUGUUUAAUGUAAGUUUCCGGUGCAUGUGAACUUAAUUAUGAUAUUUGUCAAUUAUUGAACAGGGUAGUAUUUAUUUUUGUCAUAGAUUUCAUUUAGGUGCUAGACCAAUUAUUAAAAAUAAGCACAUUUUAAAGUCUACAUUUUGAAACAGUAUUAAAUUCAUAAUUGUAUGUAAAUGGUCAAGUUUUGUCAUUCAUUUUAUUUAUAAAAUUGUUUUUGCCUAAAAUUUAGCAGAUAUCCCUUACAGUACAUUCUUCAAUUUUCUGAAGGCACAUAUGUUUGAAUAACAUCACUUUGGAUACAUGUAAUACAUGUGUAAAUUUAGUUCAAGAAUAAGUAUGAAAUCUUACACAACCAAGUAGUUCUGCAUUUUACCAAUGCAACUGCUUAAUCUGAAAAUAAUUAUAGUGCAUUCUAUAAGAAUUGUAAGAAAAUGGUUGUUUUUAAUGGAGUUUAUUCCAUUUUAAGCGCUAUUGUUUACUCACAAACUAAUAUUUUAUUGACAAUUCAGUUCUUGAGUAUCAAUUUUUGGUUUUCAUAUAAUAAACUCUUUUAGUAUAAUUUGUAUUACUGAAUUGUGGUUUUAGAGGGUGAAAAUGUUCUGAUUAUGUACUCUUGUUAAAGACUUCUUAGCUCACCUAGCCCAUCACUUGGCAUCCGUUGUGUUCGUCGGUCGUCGUUAACUUUUACAAAAGUCUUCUCCUGAAACUACUGGGCCAAAUUAAACCAAACUUGGCCACAAUCAUCAUUGGGGUAUCUAAUUUUGAAAAUGUGUGGGGUGACCCGGCCAACCAAUGCUAUGGCUAAAAAUAGAACAUGGGGGUAAAAUGUAGAUUUUUACUUAUAACUCUGAAACCAAAACUUUUAGGGCAAAUCUAAAUGGGUGAAAUUGUUUAUCAAGUCAAGAAAGCCCUGAAAUUUUCAGAUGAAUCAGACAACCGGUUGUUGGGUUGCUGCCCCUGAAUUGGAAAUUUUAAGAAUUUUUUUCCGUUUUUGGUUAUUAUCUUGAAUAUUAUUAUAGAUAGAGAUAAACUGUAAGCAGCAAUAAUGUUCAGCAAAGUAAGAUCUACAAAUAAGUCAACAUUACCAAAAUUGUCAGUCGAUCCCGUAGGGAGUUAUUGCCCUUUAUAGUCAAUUUUUAUACAAUUUUGUAAUCUUUUACAAAAAUCUUCUCCUCUGAAACUACUGGGCCAAAUUUAACCAAACUUGGCCACAAUCAUCAUUGAGGUAUCUAGUUAAAAAUGUGCCCAGUGACCUGGCCAACCAAGCAAGAUGGCUGCCAUGGCUAAAAUUGAACAUAGGGGUAAAAUGUAGAUUUUGGUGUAUAACUCUAAAACCAAAGCAUUUAGAACAAAUCUGACUGGGUAAAUUGUUUAUCAAGUGAAGAUCUAUCUGCCCAUAUAUUUUUAGUUGAAUCAGAAAACCAGUUGUUGGAUUGGUGCCCCUGAAUUGGUAAUUUUUAAGGAGGAAAUUUUACCGUUUUGGUUAUCAUCUUGAACAGCCAAGCUCAUUAUAGAUUAGAGAUAAUUAUAAGUAGCAAGAAUGUUCAGUAAAGUAAGAACUUCAAACAUAUCACCAUCACCAAAACACAAUUUUGUCAUGAAUCCAUCGUGUCCUUUGUUUAAUAUGCACAUAGACCAAGGUGAGCGACACAAGCUCUUAAGAGCCUCUACUUUUAAAACACUAUUGCUAGAAACACACAUUUUCAUUAAGAAUGAUAUAUUAGAACCAGUUAAUUGCUAUGAUUAAUAAAACAUUGUAGGACAUAAAAUAUACUGGUGGUCAAGUCAUCUAAGUUAGAUGUUAUUAUUUUCAAAUUAUCAUCUUGUGCUUUUUUGUAUAACAUUUUGAAAAAAAAAAUGCUGAAAAAAUACACAUUAUGUAGUACUAUGUUGACUUGUGUUCUGG
rnacentral:lncRNA from 1 species